GGUAGAUUGACAGAGGGGAAAUGUGCUAGGUUGCUAACCUAAGGCGCUCGCAAGGGUACAAGAGUUCGAAUCUCUUAUCUACCGCCA
rnacentral:tRNA from 1 species